rnacentral:rRNA from 1 species
CCCAGGGGCCAUAGCAGCCUCAGGGCACCCCAGUCUGUAAGAAAAGCAGGGCUGGGCCUGGCUGGGUCUUGGAUAGGGGACCCCCUGUGAAGACCAGGGGCUGAAGGCU